UACGUAGGGUGCAAGCGUUCUCCGGAAUUAUUGGGCGUAAAGAGCUCGUAGGCGGUUUGUCGCGUCUGCUGUGAAAACUGGAGGCUCAACCUCCAGCCUGCAGUGGGUACGGGCAGACUAGAGUGCGGUAGGGGAGAUUGGAAUUCCUGGUGUAGCGGUGGAAUGCGCAGAUAUCAGGAGGAACACCGGUGGCGAAGGCGGGUCUCUGGGCCGAUACUGACGCUGAGGAGCGAAAGCGUGGGGAGCGAACAGG
rnacentral:rRNA from 1 species